UUCUGGUUGCAAAUGUGUGUUUUUAUUGUUUUUCUUUGUAAUUAAAAUUGCGAAAAAAUUGCAAUGCAAAUAAAACCAACACUACAAUUGAGAAAUCAGUGUGAGUGCAAGCAUACAAAAACAAACAACUAUGAAAAGAUAAAUAAGCACAUAUACAUACAUAUUAUGUAUUGCGAGUAUGUAUGUAUGUGUGUAUAUAUUAAACGGCAGUGCCUUUGCCAAGAGGAGCAUACCAUGUGGAGGUUGCAAUUUGGGAACAUCUGAAGUAUAGAGAGCCAUUGUGAAAUACCAUUUAAUAGAAAUAUGGAACUAUAAAUGGACAGGUAAAUGUAUAAUUUACAAUUCUACUAAAAAUAAAUAUUGGC